UAUAUUUAAGUGUAAGAUGCACAAUGAUUUUUGAUAUCUUUGGGUAUGGUUUAAUUCCAUAAAAUAUAA
rnacentral:tRNA from 2 species